rnacentral:tRNA from 1 species
CGAGGUGUAGCGCAGUCUGGUCAGCGCAUCUGUUUUGGGUAUAGAGGGCCAUAGGUUCGAAUCCUGUCACCUUGA